GAUGAACGCUGGCGGCGUGCCUAAUACAUGCAAGUCGAGCGAACAGACGAGGAGCUUGCUCCUCUUACGUUAGCGGCGGACGGGUGAGUAACACGUGGAUAACCUACCUAUAAGACUAGGAUAACUUCGGGAAACCUGAGCUAAUACCGGAUAAUAUAUUGAACCGCAUGGUUCAAUAGUGAAAGACGGUUUUGCUGUCACUUAUAGAUGGAUCCGCGCCGCAUUAGCUAGUUGGUAAGGUAACGGCUUACCAAGGCAACGAUGCGUAGCCGACCUGAGAGGAUGAUCGGCCACACUGGAACUGAGACACGGUCCAGACUCCUACGGGAGGCAGCAGUAGGGAAUCUUCCGCAAUGGGCGAAAGCUUGACGGAGCAACGCCGCGUGAGUGAUGAAGGUCUUCGGAUCGUAAAACUCUGUUAUUAGGGAAGAACAAAUGUGUAAGUAACUAUGCACGUCUUGACGGUACCUAAUCAGAAAGCCACGGCUAACUACGUG
rnacentral:rRNA from 1 species